rfam:Mycobacterium arupense strain GTC1 Marup_contig000042, whole genome shotgun sequence.
GGCGGUCUUCGGUAGUGGCAGCCGGGUCUGAAAGCACGUCUUUAUCAAGAUCCGGCCGCUUCGAUCGACGACCGUA